UAGGGAAUCUUCGGCAAUGGACGGAAGUCUGACCGAGCAACGCCGCGUGAGUGAAGAAGGUUUUCGGAUCGUAAAGCUCUGUUGUUAGAGAAGAACGUUGGUAGGAGUGGAAAAUCUACCAAGUGACGGUAACUAACCAGAAAGGGACGGCUAACUACGUGCCAGCAGCCGCGGUAAUACGUAGGUCCCGAGCGUUGUCCGGAUUUAUUGGGCGUAAAGCGAGCGCAGGCGGUUCUUUAAGUCUGAAGUUAAAGGCAGUGGCUUAACCAUUGUACGCUUUGGAAACUGGAGGACUUGAGUGCAGAAGGGGAGAGUGGAAUUCCAUGUGUAGCGGUGAAAUGCGUAGAUAUAUGGAGGAACACCGGUGGCGAAAGCGGCUCUCUGGUCUGUAACUGACGCUGAGGCUCGAAAGCGUGGGGAGCAAACAGGAUUAGAUACCCUGGUAGCCCACGCCGUAAACGAUGAGUGCUAGGUGUUAGGCCCUUUCCGGGGCUUAGUGCCGCAGCUAACGCAUUAAGCACUCCGCCUGGGGAGUACGACCGCAAGGUUG
rnacentral:rRNA from 1 species